GGAGUAUAGUUCAGUUGGUAGAGUUCUUGCCUUGCAUGCACACGGCCCCUGGGUUCAAUCCCCAGUACCA
rnacentral:tRNA from 1 species